AUGACCUCGGAUCAGGUAGGGAUACCCGCUGAACUUAAGCAUAUCAUAAACCCG
rnacentral:rRNA from 1 species